rnacentral:tRNA from 1 species
GGCGCUAUGCCCGAGCGGUCUAAGGGGACUGACUAGAAUAUUCUAAUUCCUACUCGGGAUGUCAUCAGUUAGGCUUUGCCUGCGCAGGUUCAAAUCCUGCUGGCGUCG